GUCUACACAGGACAAAAAAAAAGGCAAUUGCAAGGGAGUUGGACCUACGGUAGCACAGCGGGUUAAGUGCAGGUGGUGCAAAGCGCAAGGACCAGCGUAAGGAUCCUGGUUCGAACCUCCAGCUCCCCACCUGCAGGGGAGUCGCUUCACAGGCGGUGAAGCAGGUCUGCAGGUGUCUGUCUUUCUCUCCCCCUCUGUCUUCCCCUUUUCUCUCUAUUUCUCUCUGUCCUAUCCAAUAACAACGACAUCAAGAACAACAACAAUAACUACAACAAUGAAACAACAAGGCUAACAAAAGGGAAUAAAAAAAUAAAAUAAAAUAAAGAAAAAGAAAAGGCAUUUGCUCUGCAUUUAAUACCUUCUCAGGAGGAAACUCCAUGGAAAUAAGGCACACUUGUAUCCUUAUCAUUACUAGGCUGUUUUUCCUUCCCCCCCAUUUUACUUUAUAGGACUGAGAGUGAUUGAAAGGGGAAGGGGAGAUAGGGAGAGUGAAGCCCACCCCACACACAGAUGGGGAGCAGGGGCUCAAAUGCUGGUCCUUGUGCAUAGAAAUGUGUGCACUCAAUUGGGUGUGCCACUACCAGGGCCCCAGAUGUGCAUUUUUUAAAAAAGUGAAUGUGUGCUAACAAAAAUAUUUGAGUCAUAGUAUUUAGUGCAAUGAACCUUGAUGCUAUACUGAGAACAGAUACAGGGACAUGAUACUAGGUGAAUAGUCAGCAUGUUGUGAAUACCACUCUUGUCCACUUCAUUCCGAUGGAGCAAGAAGGCUCCACUGAGGCCUCGUAGGACUAAAGAAAACACUAUUUGGCCAACA